rnacentral:lncRNA from 1 species
GCCAGGAGGGGAAAGCCUCUGCUGCCACAUUCAUAUCCGCAGUGUCCCUUUACAGCCACACGACGUCUCCCAGACCAACGCUACGUAAAUGAGGGCAAAGUCCUGUGUCAGCUGAAGGGAUGAUUCACUGUCCAACAAUACAAACAAACAGCAGUUGGUAUUGAGGAAAUGUCACAGGGAGGUAAAACAAAUGGGAGCACGCAAGGGACUCGUGAGCAGGAAGAGCCGCACGCUAUUUGUUGUAGGCAACAACCCGCGCAGUCAAUGAGCCGUUCUUCUCCAGCAAAGAGUUUGCAAACUUCCUGGAGGCUUUAAAACAGCAGCAAAUAAAGCUGUACGUGUGGUUCAGAUAUGGAUUUGAAGGGCUUCCUGCCCUGCUCUGUCCCAUCCCAGAGUGCACAGAAGGGCCAGGCAAAUCCUAUGCCUCAUGGUACUGUGCAGGGCUCUGUCAGUGGGAGCAGCGAAUAGUUGGAAUACACUUUUUAAUGGGGUGACAGUGGAGAACCCACCUGACUGACGUUUUUUUCUGUUUCAGCAGAAGAAAGCAAGCUCUGGGUGCCGCUAGAUGGCAAUGGAGACAGCAGCACUGUGCAGUUGGCUUCAGCGUCGCCGGUGCUGCCCGCAUCCCUGUGCUGUAACAGCAAACACUGGCUGCUCCAGGGAACAGAUCAGUGCACUGGAUUCCAGAUGUGAUCAUUAUCGGUGCGAGCCUUUCAGCUCACUUUACGAUGAAGACAGGCAGAAAUUGCCUGUAAAAAUCCU